rnacentral:piRNA from 1 species
UCCCUGAGGGCAGGCUCCUAGCAGCAUGGU